rnacentral:lncRNA from 1 species
ACUGACAAAAUGUAGACAGAGUUGUUUAAUGCACCUUAUCAUUCUGCAUGGAUGAAUCCCAUAACAUGCAGAACCAGGAAAACACGUCAAUCAAAGUCAUGUGCAUUUCCAGGUUUCAGGCAUUCUAAAUCUCAACACAUUCUAUAGUAGACAAAUCUCAACACAUUCUAUAGUAGACCUAAGUAAUUGUAUGCUGACUGACUUUUGCGUUCACAACCCUUAAAAAAGAUGGUUGUUUCCCAGGAACUAUGGACACAGUUUC